GGGAAGUACGGCAGCUAAACUGCAGUCGACGCUGUAGCAAUACAGAGUGGCGCACGGGUGAGUAACACGUGGGAAUGUGCCUUUUGGUACGGAACAACUUUUGGAAACGAAAGCUAAUACCGUAUGGUCCCUCCGGGGUAAAGAUUUAUCGCCAAAAGAGCAGCCCGCGUCUGAUUAGCUAGUUGGUGAGGUAAUGGCUCACCAAGGCGACGAUCAGUAGCUGGUCUGAGAGGACGAUCAGCCACACUGGGACUGAGACACGGCCCAGACUCCUACGGGAGGCAGCAGUUAGGAAUAUUGGACAAUGGGCGCAAGCCUGAUCCAGCCAUGCCGCGUGAGUGAUGAAGGCCUUCGGGUUGUAAAGCUCUUUAGCCGAUGAAUAUAAUGACUGUAGUCGGAAAAUAAGCCCCGGCUAACUUCGUGCCAGCAGCCGCGGUAAUACGAGGGGGGCGAGCGUUGUUCGGAAUCACUGGGCGUAAAGCGUGCGUAGGCGGUUAUGAAAGUUAGGAGUGAAAGCCCCAGGCUCAACUUGGGAAUUGCUCUUAAUACUCCAUGACUCGAAUUCGGGAGAGGAUAGCGGAAUUGUCAGUGUAGCAGUGAAAUGCGUAGAUAUUGACAGGAACACCAGUGGCGUAAGCGGCUAUCUGGACCGACAUUGACGCUGAGGCACGAAAGCGUGGGGAUCAAACAGGAUUAGAUACCCUGGUAGUCCACGCCGUAAACGAUGUGUGCUUGUCGCCGGGAGGUUUACCUUUCGGUGACGGAGCUAACGCAUUAAGCACACCGCCUGGGAAGUACGGUCGCAAGAUUAAAACUCAAAGGAAUUGACGG
rnacentral:rRNA from 1 species